rnacentral:rRNA from 1 species
AAUAGAUACCCUGGUAGUCCACGCCGUAAACGAUGGAUGCUAGCCGUCGGCAAGCUUGCUUGUCGGUGGCGCAGCUAACGCAUUAAGCAUCCCGCCUGGGGAGUACGGCCGCAAGGUUAAAACUCAAAGGAAUUGACGGGGGCCCGCACAAGCGGUGGAGCAUGUGGUUUAAUUCGAUGCAACGCGAAGAACCUUACCAGCUCUUGACAUUUCCUGACUGUUUCCAGAGAUGGAUUCGUCCCAGCAAUGGGCAGGAGGACAGGUGCUGCACGGCUGUCGUCAGCUCGUGUCGUGAGAUGUUGGGUUAAGUCCCGCAACGAGCGCAACCCUGCCAUUAGUUGCCAUCAUUAAGUUGGGCACUCUAGUGGGACUGCCGGUGAUAAGCCGGAGAAGUGGGAUGACGUCAAGUCAUCAUGGCCCUUAUGGGCUGGGCUACACACGUGCUACAAUGGCAGUGACAAUGGGCAGCCACUCAGCAAUGAGGAGCUAAUCCC